AAGUCGUAACAAGGUCUCCGUUGGUGAACCAGCGGAGGGAUCAUUACCGAGUUUACAACUCCCAAACCCCUGUGAACAUACCUAUUUGUUGCCUCGGCGGUGCCUGUUCCGACAGCCCGCCAGAGGACCCCAAACCCUGAUUACAUUUAAGAAGUCUUCUGAGUAAACCGAUUAAAUAAAUCAAAACUUUCAACAACGGAUCUCUUGGCUCUG
rnacentral:misc_RNA from 1 species